AAUCAACGCUGGCGGCGUGCCUCAGACAUGCAAGUCGAACGAGAAAGUUUCCUUCGGGGAAUGUGUAAAGUGGCGCACGGGUGAGUAACACGUAGGUAAUCUACCUUCGGGUGGGGAAUAACCCAGGGAAACUUGGGCUAACACCGCAUAAUGCAGCGGCACCACAUGGUGACAGUUGUUAAAGCGGGGGAUUUUCGGACCUCGCGCCUGAAGAGGAGCCUGCGGCGGAUUAGCUUGUUGGUAAGGUAACGGCUUACCAAGGCGACGAUCCGUAGCCGGCCUGAGAGGGCGGUCGGCCACACUGACACUGACAUGCGGGUCAGACUCCUACGGGAGGCAGCAGUCGGGAAUUUUGGGCAAUGGGCGAAAGCCUGACCCAGCAACGCCGCGUGAAGGAUGAAAUCCCUCGGGAUGUAAACUUCGCAAGAAUGGGAAGAAUUAGUAGGGGUUAAUACCCCCUACGAUGACGGUACCAUUUGUAAGCUCCGGCUAACUCCGUGC
rnacentral:rRNA from 1 species